UUAUUUAGACCUAGUCCUAGAUUGACUUCACUAUUAUUAUUUGACAUUUAUGAGGGUGGUUUGGUGGUUAUAAAGUUAACUAUAUUAUAGAAUGUUAUAACAUGGUUACAGGGGCGGCUAUAGCAGUGCCCGGUGUCCUGGGCGAGCGUAGAGUGCGGGGCCCUUAGCCGUAAGUGCAAACUAUGUAUAUUGAUAUAAACCUGGUGGUGGCACAGAUCGUGACCUCCGUGACCCCAGGCCGUAAGGCUGAUUUGUGACGUAGUAGGUCAGCGACCAUUGUUUCUGAUCGUAACCAGAGCCUGGCUGUGUGUUAGCGCUUAGGCGAAGUGUUGUAAACUGCAACACAGCCAACGUGUAGUUGUCCUGAUGACUAUACACAGACGUAUUAUUAAACUAGACUAAUCACUGGAUCUAGACUUUAUGUAUUUACUUAAUAUACACACUAAGUGAUUGUGUUAGCAUUAGCGCUUAGGCGAAGUGUUGUAAAAUGUAACACAACCAACAUGUAGUUGUUGUCCUCAUAACUAUAAACAGACGUAUUAUUAAAGUAGACAAAUUACUAGGUCUAGACUUAGAUGCUCAUAACUAUAAACAGACGUAUUAUUAAACUAGACAAAUUACUAUGUCUAGACUUAGAUUCUCAUAACUAUAAACAGACGUAUUAUUAAAGUAGACAAAUUACUAGGUCUAGACUUAGAUGCUCAUAACUAUAAACAGACGUAUUAAAGUAGAUUGAGUACUAGAUCAGACUUAGAUCCUCAUAACUAUAAACAGACGUAUUAAAGUAGACUAAUUACUAGGUCUAAACUUUAUGUAUUUACUUAAUAUACACACUAAGUGAUUGAAGACUGCUUUGUGUGUGUUGUAAACUGUAGUGUGUUGUAAACUGAACUGUAGCACACCUGGCUGAAUGUUUGCAUUAGUGCUUAGGCUAAGUGAUAUAGUCUGUAACUCAUUAACGUGUAGUCAUGUAUGUUAUGACUUUUCUAUAAACAGUAUUACACCUACAUAUGUUAUUAGAAUAUAAAAUUGAUCAGUUGCUUUACAACUUAAUGUACACACUAAUGAUAACAAGCAUCACAACAGAAAUAACACAACAUGAAAACAAAUGUGUGGUGUUAUAUAGCAAUUUUAUUUGCAGACAAAGGAUACCACUUUAAUGAGUUAAGUUUUUAUUGCAAUUGCUUAAUGAACAUAUGGAAAAAAAAUUUUCAUUAAUUUACAAUACACAUUUUAAAAAUACAAUGAUUACAUAUGAUGUUAAUGUGAUUUAAAUAUAUGGAUGGCUGCCUGUUCAAGCGGUUUGCUCAUAUAAUGUUAAUGUUAUUUAAAUUAUAUAUUAUAUAUAUAUGGAUGGCUGCCUGGUGGAGCGGCUUGCGCUCCGGACUGUCGCUUAGAUUUAUUGAUGGUCCCAAGUUCAAACCCUUGCCGCUCCCAUCCCCAGUCAUGCAGUCAUUAAAUUUCUUUAGAACCACAUGAACACAAUAACCAGCAACAUAUCUUAUCUUAUAGAUUACACAAGUUACUUCAAAAAACAAGAUAAUUACCCAUAAUAUAACAUCUGACAGUUAGACUUACAGAGAACCUUUAUGAUGUUUUGAUGAAUCAUUAAAAUUAGGAAAGAUAAAAGAAAUAUUUUCAUCUUUUUGAUUUAUCCCACUGUAUCUUAAACCUUCAAAUAUAUGUAGUGUACAUGGUCAAUAACUUAUAUAAGCAGGAAUCUGCAAGAUGUGGGUAGACAAUACUUAAUUUAGAUAGUCCAUAAAAAGUGACAUGGUCUUCUUAUUUAGUCCUGUUUGGUUUAAGUCAAUUUAAUAUAUUUAUUUCAUUGUCAUUUUUUGUAUUUGUGUACUUAGUGUUUUCUUUAAUAGCAUUUAAAAACUGU